rnacentral:rRNA from 1 species
CUGCUCAGUAACACGUGGACAACCUGCCCUUAGGUUGGGUAUAAACCCGGGAAACUGGGUAUAAUACCCGAUAGGUCUCGAUUGCUGGAAUGCAUCGAGAUUUAAAGCUCCGGCGCCUAAGGAUGGGUCUGCGGCCUAUCAGGUAGUAGUGGGUGUAGCGUACCUACUAGCCUACGACGGGUACGGGUUGUGAGAGCGAGAGCCCGGAGAUGGAUUCUGAGACACGAAUCCAGGCCCUACGGGGUGCAGCAGGCGCGAAAACUUUACAAUGCUGGCAACAGCGAUAAGGGAACCUCGAGUGCCAGGUUACAAAUCUGGCUGUCGAGAUGCCUAAAAAGCAUUUCAUAGCAAGGGCCGGGCAAGACCGGUGCCAGCCGCCGCGGUAACACCGGCGGCUCGAGUGGUAACCGUUAUUAUUGGGUCUAAAGGGUCUGUAGCCGGCCGGAUAAGUCUCUUGAGAAAUCUGGCAGCUUAACUGUCAGGCUUUCAGGAGAUACUGUCUGGCUCGAGGCCGGGAGAGGUGAGAGGUACUUCAGGGGUAGGGGUGAAAUCUUGUAAUCCUUGAAGGACCACCAGUGGCGAAGGCGUCUCACCAGAACGGACCUGACGGCAAGGGACGAAAGCUAGGGGCACGAACCGGAUUAGAUACCCGGGUAGUCCUAGCCGUAAACGAUACUCGCUAGGUGUCGGCCACGGUGCGACCGUUGUCGGUGCCGUAGGGAAGCCGUGAAGCGAGCCACCUGGGAAGUACGGCCGCAAGGCUGAAACUUAAAGGAAUUGGCGGGGGAGCAC